AGCCCCAAUAGUGUAUACUAAAGUUGUUGCAGUUAAAAAGCUCGUAGUUGGAUUUCUGUGCACCGGUUGUUGGUCUGCCUCUAUGAGGUGAGUCCUUCACCGUUGUACAUCCUGUUAGCAGACACAUGCUGGCAUUCAUUUGUCGGUGUGGGGAGACCACUCGUUUACUUUGAGAAAAUUAAAAUCAGGCAAUCGCUUGAAUACAUUAUCAUGGAAUAAUAGUAUAGGACUUUGCUCUUAUUUGUUGGUUUUGUAGAUCAAAGUAAUGAUUGACAGUUGGGGACAGUUGGGGGCAUCAGUAUUCUGAAGCGAGAGGUGAAAUUCUUGGACCUUCGGAAGACUAACAACUGCGAAAGCAUUUGCCAAGGAUGUUCUCU
rnacentral:rRNA from 1 species